CCUGACUGCUAUCGGAUUGAUACUAASCCAUGCKAGUCGKUGUASCAAUACAAGGCAKACGGCUCAGUAACACGUARUCAACCUACCCUAUGGUCGGGGAUAAUCUCGGGAAACUGAGCAUAAUACCCGAUAGGUCAUAAUGCCUGGAAUGGUUUAUGGCCCAAAUGAUUUAUCGCCAUAGGAUGGGACUGCGGUCUAUCAGCUUGUUGGUGAGGUAAUGGCCCACCAAGGCAAUAACAGAUACGGGCUCUGAGAGGAGAAGCCCGGAGAUGGGUACUGAGACACGGACCCAGGCCCUAUGGGGCGCAGCASGCGAGAAAACUUUGCAAUGUGCGAAAGCACGACAAGGUUAAUCCGAGCGUUUCCUGCUAAAGGAAUCUUUUGUCGAUCCUAAAAACACCGAUGAAUAAGGGGUGGGCAAGUUCUGGUGUCAGCCGCCGCGGUAAAACCAGCACCUCAAGUAGUCAGGAGGAUUAUUGGGCCUAAAGCAUCCGUAGCCGGCUGUGUUAGUCUCCGGUUAAAUCCAUAUGCUUAACAUAUGGGCUGCCGGAGAUACUGCACAGCUAGGGAGUGGGAGAGGUAGACGGUACUUGGUAGGAAGGGGUAAAAUCCUUUAAUCUACUGAUGACCACCUGUGGCGAAGGCGGUCUACUAKAACACGUCCGACGGUGAGGGAUGAAAGCUGGGGAGCAAACCGGAUUASAUACCCGGGUAGUCCCAGCUGUAAACAAUGCAAACUCAGUGAUGCGCUGGCUUGUGGCCAGCGCAGUGCCGCAGGGAAGCCGCUAAGYUUGCCGCCUGGGAAGUACGUACGCAAGUAUGAWACUUAAGGAAUUGGCGGKGGAGCACCACAGGGUGAAGCCUGCGGUUC
rnacentral:rRNA from 1 species